CAGAGGGUGCAAACGUUGCUCGGAAUCAUUGGGCGUAAAGCGCACGUAGGCGGCCUAGCAAGUAGGGAGUGAAAGCCCUCGGCUUAACCGAGGAAGUGCUUUCUAAACUACUAGGCUUGAAUACUGGAGAGGGUCGCGGAAUUCCCGGCGUAGAGGUGAAAUUCGUAGAUAUCGGGAGGAACACCAGUGGCGAAGGCGGCGACCUGGACAGAUAUUGACGCUGAGGUGCGAAAGCGUGGGGGAGCAAACAGGAUUAGAUACCCUGGUAGUCCACGCCGUAAACGAUGAGUGCUAGAUGUCGGGGGUAUUGACCCCUCCGGCGUCGAAGUUAACGCAUUAAGCACUCCGCCUGGGGAGUACGGCCGCAAGGCUA
rnacentral:rRNA from 1 species